rnacentral:lncRNA from 1 species
UCCCAGUGGCAAAGAUAAGAGCCCACGUCCUUCCUGCAUCCUGUGGCUGUGCAUUCUCAGCCACAAGAGUCAGCAAGUCCCCUUCCAGAGGGAAGCGAUUUGGACAAUAACAUCUCAGACUGAUGCUGCUAAUCUGGCCUUACCCAAGGUAAUUAUUUGAAAUGACAUUCAAACCAGAGUGGUUUUUCUAGACAUUGAGAUUACUACAUUAUGAGGAAAGUACACAAACUGCUUUCCUCCCCACAUAUCUCUAGUGCAGUCUGAAAAUAGCCCCAAGCAUUUCCAAAUGUGCCUUAAUCUUUUGACAGGGAAGUGGGUGAGGUCAGAAGACGGGGAAGGACUUGACUGCUGUCACGAGGAUGGUGAAAUUGAUGCAUCAAAUAGAGCUGAAUGCUGCUGUAAAGGUUGAAUGACCAGUGUGUAAAUCCAAGACUUCUCCAAAGGAAGAGAAGAGAAGAAAUAGUAAGAGAGAUGGACUCACUGGUCAGUGGACCAAAGAUCUUUGAAUGAUGUCGAUGUUGAACAGGAUUUACUUUGACACCUACUGUUCAUUAUGGCUUAUUUCCACUCCUUUCAGUGUUGAUGACAUUGUGUUGUGUAAACAACUGGAGUUGUUAUCCUGAAAUAAUAAUUUCUGUAUGUGACCCUGAGAAUGUUACAUCUCCAUAUCAGAUCAGACACUCAUUGUGAUUGUGUGAUAUGUCCAUCCCACCAUCAGUGCUCUCCUAUGCCUGGAGAUGACGUUCUGACUUUGCACAUCUGCUGCUGAUUGUUCAUUCAUACAUGAAUCCCAAGGAAGCAGAACGGUAAAAUAGUGACCAAGCAUAUGUUUAACUUCCAUUUUGGAGUCUUGGCUUUCUGGGAUUGAAAUCUUGAGAUAAAACACGUGGGUUUCUAUUGUGUCUCUAGGGAUGCAAAGUUAUAGUCCUGUAGAAUACGUAUUGUGUAUAAUGCAAAGUUGUUAUUUCUCCAUUAGUGAGGCUGGUGCUGGAGUUGGCUGUUAGCGUGUCAUUCUUCUGACACAUCAUUAAUAAACAGGUAAUUUCAUACCUGAUUUCCA